UACGUAGGGGGCAAGCGUUGUCCGGAUUUAUUGGGCGUAAAGAGCGUGUAGGCGGCCCGGUAAGUCCGUUGUGAAAGUCAAAGGCUCAACCUUUGAAUGCCGAUGGAUACUGCCGGGCUCGAGUCCGGAAGAGGCGAGUGGAAUUCCUGGUGUAGCGGUGGAAUGCGCAGAUAUCAGGAGGAACACCGAUAGCGAAGGCAGCUCGCUGGGACGGUACUGACGCUGAGGCGCGAAAGCGUGGGGAGCGAACAGG
rnacentral:rRNA from 1 species